rnacentral:rRNA from 1 species
GUCCACGCCGUAAACGAUGGGCACUAGGUGUAGGAGGUAUUGACCCCUUCUGUGCCGAAGCUAACGCAUUAAGUGCCCCGCCUGGGGGAGUACGGCCGCAAGGCUAAAACUCAAAGGAAUUGACGGGGGCCCGCACAAGCGGUGGAGCAUGUGGUUCAAUUCGACGCAACGCGAAGAACCUUACCUGGGUUUGACAUCCGCUGACAGUCCCGGAAACGGGAUUUUCCCCGCAAGGGGACAGCGAGACAGGUGCUGCAUGGCUGUCGU